rnacentral:misc_RNA from 1 species
GUAGGUGAACCUGCGGAAGGAUCAUUAACAAAAUCUACAACCUACAACCUACUACCCUGUUGAACUGUUAGGCAAGACAGAGAGAGAAGGGGGGGGGGAUGAGGAUGAGGAUGAGGAGGAAGGGGGCUGUUGCCUCUCUUAACUGAGAAGCAUGCAGCCCAGCUCAGCCGCCCGCCCGCCGCCCCUCGCUCUCUUCGUCUUGCUGCCUUUGGGCACUGAUAUAGACUAUUGAUUAGACUGAUAUGUGUAACAACGAGAGUAGUUAUUAUUUAUCUCUAACGCGUUAACAACUUUUAACAAUGGAUCUCUCGGCUCUU